AUUGAACGCUGGCGGCAGGCCUAACACAUGCAAGUCGAGCGGCGCGGCGGACGGGUGAGUAAUGCCUAGGAAUCUGCCUGGUCGCGGGGGAUACCGUCCGGAAACGGGCCCUAAUACCGCAUACUAUCAGAUGAGCCUAGGUCGGAUGAGAUAGUUGGGUGGGUAAAGGCCUACCAAGGCGACGAUCCGUAACUGGUCUGAGAGGAUGAUCAGUCACACUGGAACUGAGACACGGUCCAGACUCCUACGGGAGGCAGCAGUGGGGAAUAGUGGGCAAUGGGCGAAAGCCUGAUCCAGCCAUGCCGCGUGUGUUAAGAAGGUCUUCGGAUUGUAAAGCACUUUAAGUUGGGAGGCGGUACCAACAGAAUAAGCACCGGCUAACUUCGUGCCAGCAGCCGCGGUAAUUC
rnacentral:rRNA from 1 species